GAACCACGCACAUCCGCAGGAACAACGGUCGCGUCGCAACAAGUUCCACGGGUGCGCACCCCGAACCGCAGCCACCCUCAUCUCUCCGCGCGAAGCGAACCGAUCGUAUGAUUUCUCGAAAUUUCGCAGCACGCAUGCUCGCGCUACGUAACCGUGACGACCACAUUCAACCACUCCUUCGCGUAUCAUUACCUGAACGCCAUUCGACGCAGAGCUCGACGGUCCCUCUGACACAACCGACAUCCUCCGCGAGUCUGCGCGCAACUGCCGACCGACCAUCUCAUCGAUUUCCGCUCACCCCGGCCGAGUAUUUUCCCGUAAAGCGCUCCCAGCGCCAUCGCUCUGCCCUCGGGAGCCGUAGGAAACCGAGGGAACGAAAGAGAGCCCGCCCGAGUACGCGUGACCGGAUGACCAAACGACAGGAAAUAACUCGGAAGAAUCUUUCACGGAACACGGACAAAAAGCUAUCGCUACUCCAGCUUAACGUAACCUACCGUGAACAUGGAAAUUGUAACGGCUCGAGAAUCGGCAAAUUCAUCGAGGUCAAAUGUGAUCGACGUUUUAUGGAUGCAUAAAUUCGCCCACGAAGAGUGGUAGUCACGGACUGAUGUCAAUUUCAAUCAAGCAUGGGGCCAGGGAUGAAUAAAGCUGAAUAAUAUUAA